rnacentral:lncRNA from 1 species
UCUCAUAGAAGGACAUCUAGACCAGACCACCCUACGACCUUGAGGUGUCGUUGCUGGACCCAUACAUCAUUGGACCACGGACCUGCUCACGCUCUGCUGCGUCGAAGUGGCGGUGCAUCUCUGAGAUCCUCUCAGGGUUGUGAGCUCUCACAGCCAUGUUCUGCUGCUGUGACCCAUCUGAUCUAGGCUUCUUGUCGGUCAGGGACUCCUCAUCCCCCUCGGCUUCGGAUUCAGCGUUAUUUGGUAGAGAAGAAGCUGCUUGCUUCCGCUUCGAGCGUGCACGUCUGUUUUGGAACCAGUUGUAGACGUUGGUCUCCGAGAUCUGGCCAUGCUGCGAGAGCUCCGCUGUGAUGUCUUUUAUCUUCUGCUUGCUUGGUGUUCCAUUUCCUUGGUUGAAAACGAUCUCGAGGAUCUGCAGCUGCAUCUGGGUUGGUGUCCAUCGCUGCCUCGCUGUGAUCUUCUGGCCUCCAUGAACCAUUAGAGGAUCACAGUACAGAUUACCAAGACUCAUACCUGAAAGAAAUAAAGAGAUCUUAGUUGACUACACAAAGAAAAUAAACUAAAUGCUAAAAUACAAUAGACCAAGAGAAAAAGUGAGAAUGUGCAGAGGCUCAGCAAACUGUAUUUCGGGAGCUUGUCUAAAACAACUCCUGCCAUAGGUCCGUGUUUCAGGAGUGCCAUAAAAGCACAAUCUUUCAGCGGUACUUGUGAAUUAUCAUAAAAAUAUAUCCUAGGAUGGUUCAAAAAUUACUAAUGUUUCAGUACCAAAUGGGCAAGUGUGCAAAUCGUAUGUAAGUCGUAAAAUUAUUGGGAUGACAGAAUAAGAAUUAGUGUUGGACCCAGUAGAAAGAUAAUUAGGUACGUAACAUGCUAUGAAAUUCCUGCAUGUCAGAAUUGAGGAACCAUUCGCGUGAUGGUUGAAUCUCUCACAUCAGAGUAUGGGAGGAGAGAUGUUGUACUACUCCUCGCUCUUUUGUAGCUCAAUGGAUAUGCAGGCAGAAUUGAGGAAGAAAAAAUGUGGGCCUUUUUGAGUGAGGGAGCUCGCUGGCGGAGUGCGGCUUGAGGUGAGGAGGUCCGAGAUGUCAUGGCGGGGCGAGGAUGAGGUACGUAGGGCAACAGCAACUGCGGCGGGCGGCCGAGGACUGAGAUGGUGGCGGCGGCGGCCAAGACGCACGUAUGUAAGUACAAUUCUGCGAGAGGACCCCAUAGUCAUAGACAUCGGCGCACGCCGUUUCAUAUUCUCCUUCUCGUUUGAAAUUUUGCACAGAAAAAGAACAGAUUUUGUGAAAAAUAAACCCUUUCCCUUCUCAUUUGUUAAAAUAAAAGCACAACUAACAAAGCCAACAGAUAAAAAAGAGUCUACAACAACAAAUUCUAGCUAGUUCUAGAAUGAACAGACAUGCAUGUUAAGAAAAAGAAAUUUGUCAACAGUUAGGAAAUCUCGUUGUCACCAAGAUAAAGGCGUCGGUCGGUCGGUUUUCAAGUCAUAUAUGAACUUGUACUACUUAUAAUGAACCAACAUAUUGAUUGACCUCAUAUGAUAAGAUUAAACUAGGCUCAUGCCAUGGUAUACAUCGAUCUCAAAUGAAUUUGAGCAAUACAUAUUGAUCGACCAUAUGUUAUCAUUAACAGGGAGGGGAGGCGAUGGUACAGUACCUGCAGCAGCUGGCAUGAGAUAGCUGGAGAUGCUGGUGGCCAUGUAGGAGCUGGGUCUUUGCAUGUCGAAUUCCUGCACGUCCAGCAGCGUCUUCUGGUUGAGGUCAAGAGCAAUCACCUUCGACGUCCUGGUGUUGGUGUUUUCGCUGCUGGCAUUGGUCAAGAGGUAGAGGACGCCAUCACUGUGGGAGCUGAGGAUGGGGUUGGAAACAAAGAGAGACUGGGGCAGGUUGUAGCCGUGGAUAUCUCCAGAAUGGAUCUCGUGCUCCUGCCGGAAAAACAUGGCGUCCAGACCGCCAUUGAGCCCCUCCAAGGUCCACGUGACCACCGUCCAGCCGCUAGGCGUUUGCGAGCGCGGGCUGGGUUCGGCGUGGACCUGAAGGUCGACGAACCUGAUGAUGCCCCGGAACGGCGGAUGGUGAUGACCUUGCUGGACACAAAGUCGUCAGGCGGCGGUGGCUGUGGAGAGGCAGUGGGCGUGCGUCUCCACCGAGGGUCCUUGGAGUCGUAGGUGCACAGGUAGUAUCCGGAAUGGCCGGGGUGGAAAGGGUCGUAGGCGAGCGCCGCGAUCCUGUAGGCAUCACAGGCAUCAUCCUUGGGGCUGUUGCUGUGGUAACGCAAGACACCGAUACUGCCGGUAGGGAAGCAGCGAGUUCCAAAAGCUGGCAGCAUGUCGGGUUGGGGCCGCGGGAGCCGGGUGAGCUCCGGCGACCCCGCCGGCGAGGCUGCUGCCUGGUAGAGGAAGUAGUCGUAGUUGCUGUUUUCGCCGUAGAAGGCACGGUUGUGGCCGUGGCAGAGGGUGAGGAGGGCAAGGUCGCCCGCCGUGGCGAUCAUCCAAGGCUCGCGGACGAACAGGCGGGGGGCGUCUUCUUGUUCCCGGUGCUCGUCGUCGGCGUCGUCGGUGCGGUUAGCGGAGCAGCAGAAGUAGGAGACGCGAGGCGGCGGCGCCAUGAACAGGCUCACCUGCAUCUCCACCUUCACCUCCCUGCCGCGCAGGUUCCUCCGGAAUCGAUGGCAGGCGGAGGUAUGGUUUUUCUGGUGGUCUUUCUUGUCGACCAUGUAGGCGGAUCUGUCGAGGAGGGCUUCCCCCCAGUCCCACUCCCACUCCUCCGGCGCCGCCGCAUCGUACGCGGCCGGCGGAUGCAGCGAGGCUUCGUGGUAGCCUUUGAGCGACAUGGUGGACCUGGAUAUCACACAGACGACACAGGGUAUUUAGAUUAGAGGGGAGAAUAAGGAGGAGAAUAAGGUCGUAGUCGGAGCCGGAUUCAGGUACAAAGACGAGUCAGAGAGGAAACUGACUAUUUGUGUUCCAAGUUCCUUGCAACUUAAUUAUAACUACUAGUACAAAGUUGAUUUUGAUAAAAUAUUACAAAUGAGAUAUGCAGUGAGUUUUUGCCAUGCAGUGUACUGUACAACACAAUUUUGGCAUGUUAUGUACUCGUAUAUAUAAGUGUUUGCCAUGAUGUAUACUCCCUCCGUCCCAAAAUAGGUGUCUCAAGCUUAGUACAACUUUGUACUAGAGUUAGUGCAAAGUUGAGAAACUUAUUUGGGGACGGAGGGAGUGCAAAACAACAAUUUACGAUCUGCUACUAUAAAAAUGCCAAGAAAAUCAUGCCAUCAUAAAAAUUGCCAUGGGAAGUACUAGUAAAGAAGCAAAACUUAAGUUUUGCCGUAUGGUUAAUAAUAAACAUGAUGGCAAAUAUAUAUGCUAAGGGCAAAUGAUACUAUAUCAGCUUCUCAAACUACUUCCACGAGAAAAUCAAACGAAUUCCACUCGAGCUAAAUUACCCUCAGGAGGUCAACAAGAUCAUGAUAACCAACGCAUGCUGCCUUUUUUACAGGGGUAUGUUGUCAAAGUGCGACACACCGAACCGCGUGUGUCACCCAGACGGAUCCCACCCAGACAUGUCGAAGCUUUCGCCCGUCCGGUACUGGAAGAACUGGUCGAUUCCUGCACACACCAACCAAUAUCAGAUCAAAUUCAGUAGGUUCUCCAGUGGAGUUAUACUGAGAUGUGGUGUUUGCUCAACAUACUUGGAUUCUGACAUGACGUUCUCGUAGAAGGACAUCUGGCCCAGACCGCCCGACUAUCUCGAGGUGUCGUUGCUGGACCCAUACAUCGUUGGACCACAGACAUGCCCACGCUCUGCUGCGUCGAAGUGACGGUGCAUCUCCGAGAUCCUCUUGAGGUUGUGAGCUCUCACAGCCAUGUUCUGCUGCUGUGACCCGUCUGAUCUAGGCUUCUUGUCGGUCGGGGACUCCUCAUCCCCCUCGGCUUCGGAUUCGGCGUUGUUUGGUAGAGAAGAAGCUGCUUGCUUCCGCUUCGAGCGUGCACGUCUGUUCUGGAACCAGUUGUAGAUGUUGGUCUCCGAGAUCUGGCCAUGCUGCGAGAGCUCCGCUGUGAUGUCUUUUAUCUUCUGCUUGCUUGGUGUUCCAUUUCCUUGGUUGAAAAUGCUCUCGAGGAUCUGCAGCUGCAUCUGGGUUGGUGUCCAUCGCUGCCUCGCUGUGAUCUUCU